rnacentral:rRNA from 1 species
CAGGCUUAACACAUGCAAGUCGAGGGGCAUCAGGAAGAAAGCUUGCUUUCUUUGCUGGCGACCGGCGCACGGGUGAGUAACACGUAUCCAACCUGCCCUUUACUCGGGGAUAGCCUUUCGAAAGAAAGAUUAAUACCCGAUGGCAUAAUGAUUCCGCAUGGUUUCAUUAUUAAAGGAUUCCGGUAAAGGAUGGGGAUGCGUUCCAUUAGGUUGUUGGUGAGGUAACGGCUCACCAAGCCUUCGAUGGAUAGGGGUUCUGAGAGGAAGGUCCCCCACAUUGGAACUGAGACACGGUCCAAACUCCUACGGGAGGCAGCAGUGAGGAAUAUUGGUCAAUGGGCGCUAGCCUGAACCAGCCAAGUAGCGUGGAGGAUGAAGGCUCUAUGGGUCGUAAACUUCUUUUAUAUAAGAAUAAAGUGCAGUAUGUAUACUGUUUUGUAUGUAUUAUAUGAAUAAGGAUCGGCUAACUCCGUGCCAGCAGCCGCGGUAAUACGGAGGAUCCGAGCGUUAUCCGGAUUUAUUGGGUUUAAAGGGAGCGUAGGUGGACUGGUAAGUCAGUUGUGAAAGUUUGCGGCUCAACCGUAAAAUUGCAGUUGAUACUGUCAGUCUUGAGUACAGUAGAGGUGGGCGGAAUUCGUGGUGUAGCGGUGAAAUGCUUAGAUAUCACGAAGAACUCCGAUUGCGAAGGCAGCUCACUGGACUGCAACUGACACUGAUGCUCGAAAGUGUGGGUAUCAAACAGGAUUAGAUACCCUGGUAGUCCACACAGUAAACGAUGAAUACUCGCUGUUUGCGAUAUACAGUAAGCGGCCAAGCGAAAGCAUUAAGUAUUCCACCUGGGGAGUACGCCGGCAACGGUGAAACUCAAAGGAAUUGACGGGGGCCCGCACAAGCGGAGGAACAUGUGGUUUAAUUCGAUGAUACGCGAGGAACCUUACCCGGGCUUAAAUUGCAGUGGAAUGAUGUGGAAACAUGUCAGUGAGCAAUCACCGCUGUGAAGGUGCUGCAUGGUUGUCGUCAGCUCGUGCCGUGAGGUGUCGGCUUAAGUGCCAUAACGAGCGCAACCCUUAUCUUUAGUUACUAACAGGUUAUGCUGAGGACUCUAGAGAGACUGCCGUCGUAAGAUGUGAGGAAGGUGGGGAUGACGUCAAAUCAGCACGGCCCUUACGUCCGGGGCUACACACGUGUUACAAUGGGGGGUACAGAAGGCAGCUAGCGGGUGACCGCAUGCUAAUCCCAAAAGCCUCUCUCAGUUCGGAUCGAAGUCUGCAACCCGACUUCGUGAAGCUGGAUUCGCUAGUAAUCGCGCAUCAGCCACGGCGCGGUGAAUACGUUCCCGGGCCUUGUACACACCGCCCGUCAAGCCAUGGGAGCCGGGGGUACCUGAAGUACGUAACCGCAAGGAUCGUCCUAGGGUAAAACUGGUGACUGGGGCUAAG